GCUUCUUAUAUUAGCAGUGAGGACUAGUCCUAUCUGAAACCUACUCAUUUAGUGGAACAACUAUGGAAGCAGCGUCCCUGGAGAGUAUUACAGCCAUGAAAUAAUUAUCUGCCUCACCAGGUGAGUUGCAUGUUGUCCAUAGCUGGACUAUGAGCACAGCUGUCAGAAAUAAGUUAGAUCGACAGAGUAAAAGUCUAUUCUGAAAUGAAAGAAAAAAUUAUUUAGGAAGAAAAACGUACACCAGAGAAGCCUUUAUGUUUGGAUAAUUCCACAAAAAUAGUUUCAGUUUAGCAAGGAAAAUUAAUUGUCUGCUUUACUGGCAUCUCUGCAAACUUUCUCCCUGGGAACAAAGAACCAGGACUGGGAGAUUCCCUCCUACAUGUGACUUCCAGACAUACAGCCCCCACCAGCCUUGCUAAACACAUACUGCUGUUACAGUAUGUCUGCACUUGACACUCAUGUAAUUCUUUGACCAUUUCUAAACUUCAGGAGAGAUGGACUCCAUGAUCAUCAUCAUUCCUGCUUCCCCGUUCCCCCACCCUUCCAAUCUCAGUGCCUUGAUACCCAGAUUGGCAGGCUGUGGCAUUCACCACAGCUCUUACCUCUCCAAAAGAAAGGACACAAGAGGCAAGCUUUGGGCCAGGACAUGGCCAGCAAAUAGACAGGACCCAAGCAGAUACUUCCAUGCAUGUCAUCUAUCACAGGUAUUGAUGGACACAUGGAAAGUUUGAGGUCUUGUAAAAAAAAAAGUCAGGCAAGAGUUUAGUUUGCGGGCAUUAAGAGCACUGCCUAGGGAUUACCUGUCAGGACACUUACGAACUCCACAUGAGCUACUUUAAAAAAAGAAAUUUGUUUCUUUUGCACAAGUCAUGAUUGGAUAAUGACUGAAGAGGAAAACACACAGAGCAAAACAAUGCAGAUUAAAACAGCAUUACAGCAUUUCUUAAUGAAGCCUUGUGGCUGCUGCUUUCCAGUAUGUUGAAUGCUGAUAGUUCCAAAUACCAGAACAUAAGAUUUAUUUGGAUUAUAAAUAGAUGUUGCCCUGUGCGUCAGUAUCAGAAGCAUUCUGUUGUGUAAACAGAAAACUACUGGGGGCUUUUUCUACUCUUAAAAAUUACUUGAAAGCUC